rnacentral:rRNA from 1 species
GGAUUAGAUACCCUAUUAUAUUUUAGUAACCCUACUUUAGGUAGUAGUUGCUAUACUCUUGAAACCUAAAGAAUUUGGCGGUGUUUAUUUAAAUCAGAGGACCUUGCUAAGUAAACGAUAAUCCACGUUAAAUCUUACUUUUUUAAUGUUUGUAUACCGUCAUCUAAAUACCUUUUUAGAAAAAGAGUGUUAUAUUUUUUCUUAAAUUUAAGUUAGAUCAAGGUGUAGCCUUUAAAAGUUCUAGUGAGGUACAGUUUAUAUUUAAUUGGAUUAGUAUUUUAACAAUACUGAGAAAUAGGAUUUGAACGUAAUUUCUAUUUAAUAAGUAAAUAUGAGUAGUUAAUUAAACAUGUACACAUCGCCCGU